GGACUCAGUGGGAGAGCAUCUGUCUUGCAUACAGAAGGUCCCAGGUUCAAUCUUCAUUUAGGGCUGGGAAAAACU